rnacentral:rRNA from 1 species
UCCUACGGGGGGCAGCAGUGGGGAAUAUUGCACAAUGGGGGGAACCCUGAUGCAGCGACGCCGCGUGGGCGAGGAAGUAUUUCGGUAUGUAAAGCCCUAUCGGCAGGGAAGAAGAAAUGACGGUACCUGAAUAAGAAGCACCGGCUAAAUACGUGCCAGCAGCCGCGGUAAUACGUAUGGUGCAAGCGUUAUCCGGAUUUACUGGGCGUAAAGGGAGCGCAGGCGGCGCGCCAAGUCUGAUGUGAAACCCCGGGGCUCAACCCCGGGCAUGCAUUGGAAACUGGCGGGCUGGAGUGCCGGAGAGG